ensembl:lncRNA
AGCGGAUCUUCCCGACCCAGGGAUAGAACCCAGGCCUCCCGCAUUGCAGGUGGAUUCUUUACCAGCUGAGUCGCCAGGGAAGCCCAAGAAUACUGGAGCGGGUGACCUCAAGGUUGGGAAGAAAACAUGCACAGUAGCCCAUUUCUGUGAAGGACUUGGAGCUUGGAAGAGACACCCAAUCCUCUAUCUGUAGCCCGCCCUCCGCUUGGAAUGAAGACCACAGCUGUGUCCUGAGCCUCGAGGCUGGCCUCACAGGAGGAAUUUGAACACAGCCUGGGUUCCCGCACGCAGUUCAUGACUGCAAAGGGCUUCCUCUUCGAAAUCCAGCCCAAAUGGGCACACUCAAGAAAUGCGGCAGCUUCAGAGAACGUGACCCAGUUAAGUCCCUUCUACUGGUUCUUCCUUCAGCCUCACCUUCUCCAUCAGGGGUGGCCGGCUUUCCAGGGCUUGCCUGACAACAAUCAGCUCUGCUCACAGCACCCCAGGCGGGGCUGAACAGAGACCCUUUGUAGUAUUUGCUGGAAAAGCAAGAGGAAACUUCAGCCAAGGACCAGCUUCUUCUCCCCCUUAUGUAAGAGUUAGUGUUGCUCAUGCCAGUGAAGUCAUGCAGAAAGUCGGCAUGGGCGAGGGCUGACUCCAGUGGGAAUGGUCUCACCGGAACCCCCUUGGAACACAGAGGUGGAGACAGAGACAGGCAGGGAUGGGUCAGUGGGCCCCUCGGACACAGUUCAGCUUCUGACACACUCACGAGCCAACUUUAACACGCUUGCUUGGUUCUCAUAGCACUCAGUCUGGAUGCCAUGGACGGGGGUGGGGGGCACAUCUGCCUCCCCGCCCUCAUCUCAGCACCCUGGCCAUGCGCCCUCUUUUCUGCUCCUCCAACACACUCAGCCUUUUCAACCCCAGGGCCUUUGCACACCCUGCUACUUGAACACCACUUCCCCCAGUUCCUUUCCUCCCAUCCUUCAGGCUUCUGUGCCAGCAGUCCACCCCGAAGGGCUCUUCUCUGACCCAUCACUUCCUCUCUCCUUACUUAUACCAGAUCAUCCCUCUGUCUCCCCUUCGCCCUGCUUUCUUUAGAGGACACUGGAGUCUGUAUCUGCAUGUCCCAUGUCUCCCACACAGAAGACGAUAAUCAUUACGAGGGCAGGGAUUAUCCAUCUUGUUCUCCCCUGUGCCUCCAGCCCAAAGAACAGUACCCAGCACAUAGUAGGUGCUCAGUAAAUAUUUAGCAAAAGAAUGAAUUAAAAUAUCAGUAUAUUCCACACAACUCUGAUCCCUCAUUUUUGGAUUCGGCAAUCUUUCUGGAAGGAAGUAAAAUAAUAUAUAUUCCUGGGUUUAUCUAGACCCAAUAAAAGGGGGAAAAAAAAAAAAGUUCUUAAAUCUCUUGGAAACACCAAACUCCCGACGUAAGCAAAAGAACCUGCAGGUUGAGUUCCAAGAUAUGAGACCUGGCUGGUCACUGAACGUACG